UUCUGGCAUGAAGUAUUUUACCAGUCGGAGUAUUGGACCAUUACUGCAAGGUCCAAUCAUUGUCAUUAAUAUUGUCUGCUGGCAAACAAAGAGAAAUUUCUUCCUCGGAAGUCUUGCCAGCUCAGGAAAAUGUUUGAACUGUCGCGGCAUUGCCUGGCUGUCUCGUUUGCAUUUUCCAAGGACACUCAAGAAAACAAAACUAUAUCGCUACACAUUUAAUUUCAUAUGCUGCCCUUCUUUCUCGCAGCUGGAUUUCCAGUAUAUCCACCUCUUUCUGUCUCCCUUUUGUAAUUAAAAACUGGAAGUGAAAAAUGUAUGGGAUUAACCAGUCCUAAUUUUCAUUGACAAGCUUUAAGC
rnacentral:lncRNA from 11 species